GAGAGGUGCUUGCACCUUUCAAGCGAGUGGCGAACGGGUGAGUAAACGUGGAUAACCUGCCUCAAGGCUGGGGAUAACAUUUGGAAACAGAUGCUAAUACCGAAUAAAACUUAGUAUCGCAUGAUAUCAAGUUAAAAGGCGCUACGGCGUCACCUAGAGAUGGAUCCGCGGUGCAUUAGUUAGUUGGUGGGGUAAAGGCUUACCAAGACGAUGAUGCAUAGCCGAGUUGAGAGACUGAUCGGCCACAUUGGGACUGAGACACGGCCCAAACUCCUACGGGAGGCUGCAGUAGGGAAUCUUCCACAAUGGGCGCAAGCCUGAUGGAGCAACGCCGCGUGUGUGAUGAAGGCUUUCGGGUCGUAAAGCACUGUUGUAUGGGAAGAAAUGCUAAAAUAGGGAAUGAUUUUAGUUUGACGGUACCAUACCAGAAAGGGACGGCUAAAUACGUGCCAGCAGCCGCGGUAAUACGUAUGUCCCGAGCGUUAUCCGGAUUUAUUGGGCGUAAAGCGAGCGCAGACGGUUGAUUAAGUCUGAUGUGAAAGCCCGGAGCUCAACUCCGGAAUGGCAUUGGAAACUGGUUAACUUGAGUGUUGUAGAGGUAAGUGGAACUCCAUUUUUA
rnacentral:rRNA from 1 species